GCGCAAUGCCUGAAUGCAGCCAUGCCGCGUGAGUGAAGAAGGCCCUAGGGUUGUAAAACUCUUUCGCCGGUUAGGAUAAUGACGUUAACCGGAGAAGAAGCCCCGGCUAACUUCCGUGCCAGCAGCCGCGGUAAUACGGAGGGGGCUAGCGUUGUUCGGAAUUACUGGGCGUAAAGCGCGUGCAGGCGGAACGGUCAGUCGGAGGUGAAAGCCCGGGGCUCAACCCCGGAAUUGCCUUUCGAUACUGCCGUUCUUGAGGUCGGAAGAGGUGAGUGGAAAUUCCCAGUGUAGAGGGUGGAAAUUCGUAGAUAUUGGGAAGAACACCAGCGGGCGAAGGCGGCUCACUGGUCCGAAAUCUUGACGCUUCAGACGCGAAAGUGUGGGGAGCAAACAGGAAUUAGAAUACCCUGGUAGUCCACACCCUUAAAACGAAUGGAAUGCUACCUGUCGGGCGAUUUAUCGCUCGGUG
rnacentral:rRNA from 1 species